GGCCAACUUUGUCCGCCGGACUCGGAAUGCCGCGAGACUUUGCGAGGGGCCUCCGUGUGCCAAAAAUAGGCCGCGGGCAAAGCCGCGCCCAAAAUUAACCGCCCGAAGGCCGGGGCGCCAAGUUCGUCCAGCGGAAAAAGGCCACAAAAACGGGUGGGCUAUAGCCUUGGGGGGUGGGGCUGGCCCUCUUCGUCCGCCGGACUCGGAAUGCCGCGAGACUUUGCGAGGGGUCUCCGUGUGCCAAUAAUAGGCCACGGCCAAAGCCGCGCCUAAAAAUAACCGCCCGAAGGCCGGGGCGCCAACUUCGUCCAGCGGAAAAAGGCCACAAAAAAGGGUGGGCUAU
rnacentral:lncRNA from 1 species